rnacentral:rRNA from 1 species
CUAACCAUAGGCCAUGAAUCUGGUCUUGGGACACUGUCAGGUGGGCAGUUUGACUGGGGCGGUCGCCUCCCAACAGGUAACGGAGGCGCUCAAAGGUUCUCUCAGUACGGUCGGAAAUCGUACGUAGGGUGUAAAGGCAAAAGAGAGCUUGAUUGCAAGACAUACAGGUCGAGCAAGGAUGAAAAUCGGACUUAGUGAUCC